UAGAGGAAGUAAAAGUCGUAACAAGGUCUCCGUUGGUGAACCAGCGGAGGGAUCAUUACUGAGUUUACGCUCUACAACCCUUUGUGAACAUACCUAUAACUGUUGCUUCGGCGGGUAGGGUCUCCGUGACCCUCCCGGCCUCCCGCCCCCGGGCGGGUCGGCGCCCGCCGGAGGAUAACCAAACUCUGAUUUAACGACGUUUCUUCUGAGUGGUACAAGCAAAUAAUCAAAACUUUUAACAACGGAUCUCUUGGUUCUGGCAUCGAUGAAGAACGCAGCGAAAUGCGAUAAGUAAUGUGAAUUGCAGAAUUCAGUGAAUCAUCGAAUCUUUGAACGCACAUUGCGCCCGCCAGCAUUCUGGCGGGCAUGCCUGUUCGAGCGUCAUUUCAACCCUCAAGCUCUGCUUGGUGUUGGGGCCCUACGGCUGACGUAGGCCCUCAAAGGUAGUGGCGGACCCUCCCGGAGCCUCCUUUGCGUAGUAACUUUACGUCUCGCACUGGGAUCCGGAGGGACUCUUGCCGUAAAACCCCCAAUUUUCCAAAGGUUGACCUCGGAUCAGGUAGGAAUACCCGCUGAACUUAAGCAUAUCAAUAAGCGGAGGAA
rnacentral:rRNA from 1 species